rnacentral:rRNA from 1 species
ACUCCUACGGGAGGCAGCAGUGGGGAAUAUUGCACAAUGGGGGAAACCCUGAUGCAGCCAUGCCGCGUGUGUGAAGAAGGCCUUCGGGUUGUAAAGCACUUUCAGUAGGGAGGAAGGUAGUGUAGUUAACACCUGCACUAUUUGACGUUACCUACAGAAGAAGCACCGGCUAACUCCGUGCCAGCAGCCGCGGUAAUACGGAGGGUGCGAGCGUUAAUCGGAAUUACUGGGCGUAAAGCGCAUGCAGGCGGCCUGUUAAGUCAGAUGUGAAAGCCCGGGGCUUAACCUCGGAAUUGCAUUUGAAACUGGCAGGCUAGAGUCUUGUAGAGGGGGGUAGAAUUUCAGGUGUAGCGGUGAAAUGCGUAGAGAUCUGAAGGAAUACCAGUGGCGAAGGCGGCCCCCUGGACAAAGACUGACGCUCAGAUGCGAAAGCGUGGGGAGCAAACAGGAUUAGAUACCCUGGUAGCACAGAGC